UCCACGCAGUAAACGAUGAAUGUUAGUCGUUGGGUAGCUAGUCUAUUCAGUGAUGCAGUUAACACAUUAAACAUUCCGCCUGGGGAGUACGGUCGCAAGAUUAAAACUCAAAGGAAUAGACGGGGACCCGCACAAGUGGUGGAGCAUGUGGUUUAAUUCGAAGAUACGCGAAGAACCUUACCUAGCCUUGACAUUGAAGAAACACACUAGAGAUAGAGUGGUGCCCUUUCGGG
rnacentral:rRNA from 1 species